UAAGCAUAUCAAUAAGCGGAGGAAAAGAAACUAACAAGGAUUCCCCUAGUAACUGCGAGUGAAGCGGGAAAAGCUCAAAUUUAAAAUCUGGCGGUCUUCGGCCGUCCGAGUUGUAGUCUGGAGAAGUGCUUUCCGCGCUGGACCGUGUACAAGUCUCUUGGAACAGAGCGUCAUAGAGGGUGAGAAUCCCGUCUUUGACACGGACUACCAGUGCUUUGUGAUGCGCUCUCAAAGAGUCGAGUUGUUUGGGAAUGCAGCUCAAAAUGGGUGGUAAAUUCCAUCUAAAGCUAAAUAUUGGCGAGAGACCGAUAGCGAACAAGUACCGUGAGGGAAAGAUGAAAAGCACUUUGGAAAGAGAGUUAAACAGUACGUGAAAUUGCUGAAAGGGAAACGAUUGAAGUCAGUCGCGUUAGCCAGGACUCAGCCUUGUUUUUACUUGGUGCAUUUUCUGGUUGACGGGCCAGCAUCGAUUUUGACCGCCGGAAAAAGAUUGGGGGAAUGUGGCACCUUCGGGUGUGUUAUAGCCCUCAGUCACAUACGGCGAUUGGGAUCGAGGACCGCAGCACGCCUUUAUGGCCGGGGUUCGCCCACGUUCGUGCUUAGGAUGCUGGCGUAAUGGCUUUAAACGACCCGUCUUGAAACACGGACCAAGGAGUCUAACAUGCCUGCGAGUGUUUGGGUGGAAAACCCGAGCGCGUAAUGAAAGUGAAAGUUGAGAUCCCUGUCGCGGGGAGCAUCGACGCCCGGACUUGAACUUCGGUGAUAGAUCUGCGGUAGAGCAUGUAUGUUGGGACCCGAAAGAUGGUGAACUAUGCCUGAAUAGGGUGAAGCCAGAGGAAACUCUGGUGGAGGCUCGUAGCGAUUCUGACGUGCAAAUCGAUCGUCAAAUUUGGGUAUAGGGGCGAAAGACUAAUCGAACCAUCUAGUAGCUGGUUCCUG
rnacentral:rRNA from 1 species